CUUGUUUUUACUGGAUAACACAUCUAUUGAUUGGAACCUUGGUCUCCUCAUCCAUCUGAUUUCUUAGAUCCAGGCUUUUAAUGGAAUGGAAUUCACCACUGGUUCUUCUAGGUCUGUAGCUGGUAGUUCCUUCACCAGGACCAGAUGUGCUCCAAAUGAUGGCUGUUCCCUCAGCGUGGUGGGAAAAUAAGAAGAAAGGUGUAAUCUAAAAUUUGAACCAAGUCUUGCCAAGCAGCUCUGAGCUUCAUCUAGUCAUCAACAUUUAGAGAACAUCUCUACCCACAUGUAGGUGUCCACAUGUGUGCUGGGCUGGUAAUACUGAUAGAGAGGCUGUCACUAUGCACAUGGCACAACGCUGAGAAGGUUUAUGGAUAUUUUACAUCACCAAUGCUAUAUUCUCUGAGGUGACACAGCCAGAAGCCACCCACUGUGACUACCAACUGAUCUGCUGGAGUGAUCCAGUUCUUCAGCACUGCAGACACAAUGGUGGACCUUGUUCAACAUUGGAAAACAUACAGUCCUAGGAACCUAUUUUGUUUGAUCUCAAGUAUUUUGAAGAAUUCAACAUUAUUACAUGUAAAUUCCUUUGUCACAGCCACUAAAGUAAAAUUGCUAUGAAUAAAUCAGGCACAGAUGUAUUAUUUGUUAUAAGCUUUUGUUCCAUUGUUCAGUGGAGGUUUAGAAGAACUUGUA